AUUGAACGCUGGCGGCAGGCCUAACACAUGCAAGUCGAACGGGUGGCGGACUGGUGAGUAAUGUAUGGGAACGUGCCUGAUCGAGGGGGAAAACUACUGGAAACGGUGGCAAAUACCGCAUAACAUCGUAUGUGCCCAGAUGGGAUUAGCUAGUAGGUGGGGUAAAGGCUCACCUAGGGGACGAUCCCCAGCUUGUCUGCGAGGAUGACCAGCCAAACUGGGACUGAGAAACGGUCCAGACUCCUAAGGGAGGCAGCAGUGGGGAAUAUUGCGCAAUGGGAGCAAGCCUGAGGCAGCCAUGCCGCGUGUAUGAAGAAGGCCUUAGGGUUGUAAAGUACUUUCAGUUGGGAGGCGUUAACCGCAGAAGAAGCACAGGCUAACUCCGUGGCAGGAGGCGCGGGAAUUU
rnacentral:rRNA from 1 species